rnacentral:rRNA from 1 species
GUGACUGCGUACCUUUUGUAUAAUGGGUCAGCGACUUAUAUUCUGUAGCAAGGUUAACCGAAUAGGGGAGCCGCAGGGAAACCGAGUCUUAAUUGGGCGUUAAGUUGCAGGGUAUAGACCCGAAACCCGGUGAUCUAGCCAUGGGCAGGUUGAAGGUUGGGUAACACUAACUGGAGGACCGAACCGACUAAUGUUGAAAAAUUAGCGGAUGACCUGUGGCUGGGGGUGAAAGGCCAAUCAAACCGGGAGAUAGCUGGUUCUCCCCGAAAGCUAUUUAGGUAGCGCCUCGUGAAUUCAUCUCCGGGGGUAGAGCACUGUUUCGGCUAGGGGGCCAUCCCGGCUUACCAACCCGAUGCAAACUGCGAAUACCGGAGAAUGUUAUCACGGGAGACACACGGCGGGUGCUAACGUCCGUCGUGAAGAGGGAAACAACCCAGACCGCCAGCUAAGGUCCCAAAGUCAUGGUUAAGUGGGAAACGAUGUGGGAAGGCCCAGACAGCCAGGAUGUUGGCUUAGAAGCAGCCAUCAUUUAAAGAAAGCGUAAUAGCUCACUGGUCGAGUCGGCCUGCGCGGAAGAUGUAACGGGGCUAAACCAUGCACCGAAGCUGCGGCAGCGACGCUGAUGCGUUGUUGGGUAGGGGAGCGUUCUGUAAGCCUGUGAAGGUGUGUCGUGAGGCAUGCUGGAGGUAUCAGAAGUGCGAAUGCUGACAUAAGUAACGAUAAAGCGGGUGAAAAGCCCGCUCGCCGGAAGACCAAGGGUUCCUGUCCAACGUUAAUCGGGGCAGGGUGAGUCGACCCCUAAGGCGAGGCCGAAAGGCGUAGUCGAUGGGAAACGGGUUAAUAUUCCCGUACUUGGUGUUACUGCGAAGGGGGGACGGAGAAGGCUAUGUUGGCCGGGCGACGGUUGUCCCGGUUUAAGCGUGUAGGUGUGUGUUCCAGGUAAAUCCGGUUCACUUUAACACUGAGGCGUGAUGACGAGGCACUACGGUGCUGAAGCAACAAAUGCCCUGCUUCCAGGAAAAGCCUCUAAGCAUCAGGUAACAUCAAAUCGUACCCCAAACCGACACAGGUGGUCAGGUAGAGAAUACCAAGGCGCUUGAGAGAACUCGGGUGAAGGAACUAGGCAAAAUGGUGCCGUAACUUCGGGAGAAGGCACGCUGACACGUAGGUGAAGUGAUUUACUCAUGGAGCUGAAGUCAGUCGAAGAUACCAGCUGGCUGCAACUGUUUAUUAAAAACACAGCACUGUGCAAACACGAAAGUGGACGUAUACGGUGUGACGCCUGCCCGGUGCCGGAAGGUUAAUUGAUGGGGUCAGCGCAAGCGAAGCUCCUGAUCGAAGCCCCGGUAAACGGCGGCCGUAACUAUAACGGUCCUAAGGUAGCGAAAUUCCUUGUCGGGUAAGUUCCGACCUGCACGAAUGGCGUAAUGAUGGCCAGGCUGUCUCCACCCGAGACUCAGUGAAAUUGAACUCGCUGUGAAGAUGCAGUGUACCCGCGGCAAGACGGAAAGACCCCGUGAACCUUUACUAUAGCUUGACACUGAACAUUGAGCCUUGAUGUGUAGGAUAGGUGGGAGGCUUUGAAGUGUGGACGCCAGUCUGCAUGGAGCCGACCUUGAAAUACCACCCUUUAAUGUUUGAUGUUCUAACGUGGACCCGUAAUCCGGGUUGCGGACAGUGUCUGGUGGGUAGUUUGACUGGGGCGGUCUCCUCCUAAAGAGUAACGGAGGAGCACGAAGGUUGGCUAAUCCUGGUCGGACAUCAGGAGGUUAGUGCAAUGGCAUAAGCCAGCUUGACUGCGAGCGUGACGGCGCGAGCAGGUGCGAAAGCAGGUCAUAGUGAUCCGGUGGUUCUGAAUGGAAGGGCCAUCGCUCAACGGAUAAAAGGUACUCCGGGGAUAACAGGCUGAUACCGCCCAAGAGUUCAUAUCGACGGCGGUGUUUGGCACCUCGAUGUCGGCUCAUCACAUCCUGGGGCUGAAGUAGGUCCCAAGGGUAUGGCUGUUCGCCAUUUAAAGUGGUACGCGAGCUGGGUUUAGAACGUCGUGAGACAGUUCGGUCCCUAUCUGCCGUGGGCGCUGGAGAACUGAGGGGGGCUGCUCCUAGUACGAGAGGACCGGAGUGGACGCAUCACUGGUGUUCGGGUUGUCAUGCCAAUGGCACUGCCCGGUAGCUAAAUGCGGAAGAGAUAAGUGCUGAAAGCAUCUAAGCACGAAACUUGCCCCGAGAUGAGUUCUCCCUGAGACUUAGAGUCUCCUGAAGGAACGUUGAAGACGACGACGUUGAUAGGCCGGGUGUGUAAGCGCAGCGAUGCGUUGAGCUAACCGGUACUAAUGAACCGUGAGGCUUAACCUUACAACGCCGAAG